GGCGGGUGACGUAGGGCCGGCGUCUUGGAAGGGGGAACCGGCGGCGGUUGAGGCGACUCGCGAGCCGCUUCCUGCGAAUUUGCUCUUUAUCCUGUGCGGUCGGUCCUUGGAAGUAUUGGAAGAAAGAA